GAGCUGCUCCCCACGCUAUGGAGAAUGACUCAGUCAUGAAAGAGGGAAGGGUAAUGAGCCAUAGUGACCACAUUAUCUCUUGUGUUGCAGAAGAUAAAGCAAAGCAAUAGAAAGAAAAUUCUUCUCCAGAAAUAGAGACAAACUGAUGACAAAAGAAGCAGCUCUAAAACACCAGGGAGAGGAAAGCUUCCAGCAGGGAAGAGUUUCCUGGCAACUAAUUGUUUUCCUUUGAUUCACACAGCUGCCACUUGCGAUUGUCUGCCCAUGCCAAAGAGGCAAUAGAAAGCUUGCUCUGAAUUAACUCAAGAAUUAAUGUUCUUCAAAGAUCGUAGCUGACUACUCAUAAAAUGAUUCAUUCUACAAAACACUCGACCAAGUAUCAACAAAAAGUGUACAGUAUAUGGAGAACUCUUUCCGCAGGAAUUCACAACCAAGGAACUUGGCAGCAGGUGAUGCCAAAACUAUUUUCAACUAAAUACCUCACCAAAGAAUCCAGAGUAAGCUAAGCACAGUCAAGGAAUAAGAGGAUACAUCCAUUUGUGGAUCAGGAAUUGGUUAAGUGGCAGGAAGCAGAGAGUAGGAAUAAAUUGACAAAUUUGAUUAUUGUGUGAUAAAAAAACC